UACGUAGGAUGCAAGCGAUGUCCGGAUUUAUUGGGUUUAAAGGGUGCGUGGGCGGCCUAUUAAGUUAGUGGUGAAAACGUUCGGCUUAACCGGAUACCCGCCAUUGAUACUGAUAGACUUGAGUGCGACAGAGGGUGUUGGAAUGUGUGGUGUAGCGGUGAAAUGCUUAGAUAUCACGCAGAACACCAAUUGCGAAGGCAGAUGCCUAUGUCGUAACUGACGCUGAGGCACGAAAGCGUGUGGAGCAAACAGG
rnacentral:rRNA from 1 species